UUUAAUUGGACUCAACGCCGGACAUCUCACCAGCAUCGACUGUAGUAAUGACGAUCAGGUUGAUGACCUUAUCCGAGCUUCAGAGAGGAGGUGCAUGGCCGCCGUCAGCUCGUACCGUGAGGCGUCCUGUUAAGUCAGGCAACGAGCGAGACCCGCACCCUUACUUGCCAGCAGUACCGCGAGGUAGCUGGGGACAGUAGGGGGACCGCCGUGGCUAACACGGAGGAAGGAACGGGCAACGGUAGGUCAGUAUGCCCCGAAUGUGCUGGGCAACACGCGGGCUACAAUGGUCGAGACAAAGGGUUCCAACUCCGAAAGGAGACCGUAAUCUCAGAAACUCGAUCGUAGUUCGGAUUGUGGGCUGCAACUCGCCCACAUGAAGCUGGAUUCGGUAGUAAUCGCGUGUCACAAGCGCGCGGUGAAUACGUCCCUGCUCCUUGCACACACCGCC
rnacentral:rRNA from 1 species